rnacentral:rRNA from 1 species
UACGUAGGGUGCGAGCGUUAAUCGGAAUUACUGGGCGUAAAGCGUGCGCAGGCGGUUUUGUAAGCCAGAUGUGAAAGCCCCGGGCUUAACCUGGGAAUGGCAUUUGGGACUGCAAGGCUUGAGUGCGGCAGAGGAGACUGGAAUUCCUGGUGUAGCAGUGAAAUGCGCAGAUAUCAGGAGGAACACCGGUGGCGAAGGCGGGUCUCUGGGCCGAUACUGACGCUGAGGAGCGAAAGCGUGGGGAGCGAACAGG